GCCUGGGUGGCUCAGUGGUUGAGCGUCUGCCUUUGGCCCAGGACGUGAUCCUGGAGACCUGGGAUCGAGUCCCACAUCGGGCU
rnacentral:tRNA from 1 species